rnacentral:rRNA from 1 species
CCUACGGGAGGCAGCAGUGAGGAAUAUUGGUCAAUGGGCGCGAGCCUGAACCAGCUAAGUAGCGUGAAGGAUGACUGCCCUACGGGUUGUAAACUUAUUUUAUAAAGGCGUAAAGUGAGGCACUUGUGCCUUUUUGUAUGUACUUUAUGAUUAAGGAUAGGCGAGCUCCGUUCCAGCAGCCGCGGUAAUAUGGAGGAUCCGAGCGUUAUCUGGAUUUAUUGGGUUUAAAGGGAGCGUAGAUGGGUUGUUAAGUCAGUUGUGAAAGUUUGCGGCUCAACCGUAAAAUUGCAAUUGAAACUGGCAGUCUUGAGUACAGUUGAGGUAGGCGGAAUUCGUGGUGUAGCGGUGAAAUGCUUAGAUAUCACGAAGAACUCCGAUUGCGAAGGCAGCUUACUAAACUGCCACUGACACUGAUGCUCGAAAGUGUGGGUAGCAAACAGGAUUAGAUACCCGGGUAGUC